rnacentral:pre_miRNA from 7 species
UCCUCAGAUCUAUGAUGAGCCUGUAACACUAUAUCCAUACAGAUCUUCCUUCACAUUGAAAGAACCUAGUGGGGAAACCCCCACUGAACUCCCGAUUCGGCGUGCACCCAAGAAUCACGAAUAGAACA